rnacentral:lncRNA from 1 species
UUGCACAUAUGUAUGGGCACUGCAUGUGUGUGGCGGUCACAGAAGUCAGGUGUCAGAACAAAUGGAAUUACAGAUGAUCGUGAGCUGCUACGUAGGUGUCAAGAGCAGUAAACAGUUUCAACCACUGAGCCCCACAACUUUCCCUUUGGCAGUCUACGUACUCACGAGAGACAUGCAAACAAAAAACUCCCACCAUGAGUUGCCAGCAGGAAAGUCUGGGAGGGGCCAGGGCACUGCUUACCACAUGCUGACCAACUCUCACAGUCUCCAUUAUGGUCCCAGAGCUCAAUACCCACAAUGCCUCACCAGUCUUGCCAGGGAGAACAGCCACACCCAGAUUACUGCCACAGUGGCUGUAACUGCUAAGGACGGCAAAGAGCCAAACCAAAAUUCUAUGAAAGUUUCCAAAAAUGCUUGUUUUUUUUUUUUUUUUAAAAGGGGACACACAGGAACAAAGGCAGAGAGGAUGAGGGGAGGGGGCAGGCAGCUGAGGUGGAUGCCAUGCUGUGUACUCUCCUGUACCUUCUGAAUUCACAACCAUGUAAAUACAUUAUUCAGAGAAACAAAAUACAAAUGACUGUAGCUACUG